rnacentral:rRNA from 1 species
UAUUAUAAAUUAAUUUACUCUGAAUAAAUAAAUUCAAGAAUAUUUAUCUUAAAAAUGAAAUUUCUAAAAUAAAUAAUACAUUCAAUUUAUCACCUCUUAGUCUAAAACCAGGAUUAGAUACCCUGUUAUUCUAUUAAAUAAUAAUAUUUCAAAAGAAAUAUAUAUAAAAUAAAUCUGACGGUAUUAACUUUUACAAAGGAAUUUGUUUCUAAAUCGACAACCCACGACACACCUUACUUAAUACUUAUUUGUAUACCUCCGUAUUAGAAAUUAUCAUAAAUUAAUUUCAAAAAAGUAAUUUUCUAAAAAAUCAGGUCAAGGUGCAAUUUUAUUAAGAUGAAAUGAAUUACAUUAAUUUAUAUUAAAUAUAAACUCUGAAAAAAAAUUUUAAAAAUAGAAUUUGUCAGUAAAAUAUUAUCAUAAUGAUUAUUUGAAAACUAACAUUAAUAUG